CCCCACUCGACUCUCCAAGUUCUCGCGCUCCCACACGAAACUAAACAGGCUGCUCUUCACAUGAGCCACACAGAUCUGAACUUUACACGGAAAAAACAGGCCUUAUUUGAACAGGAAUAAAAAGCCCAUCGUACAAAGCGGUCUCCCGGGACACCGAAGAAUAUGCCUACUUGCGGGGGCUCGGGGAGAUCGUUAACACCGACAAUAAUACUAUUCCACUCUACUUUUUUGUAAAUAAAUAUCCCGCAAACGCGCGCGAAUCUCAGUAACGUUACGUUACUUAACAAAAAACACAUUUUCCGGUGACUACAAAAACAACCAUAGAUUAGCUACCUGAUAAACAACUAAAGGGACCACAAAUAGAAUAUUAUCAUAUCAUCAAAAGCAGCGAGCGUUAAAAUAGUUAACAUUAACACAAUAAGGUAAUCUGCAUAAUUUAUUCAGUCCGCGGGGCAUCGGGAACUCAAGUGGGGGACUAUGGUAAUAUUGUUAUCCACAGACUCCACACGUUGAUCAAAAACGCAUAAAUGCUUUGGUUCUUGCUUGCUGUUUAGUGAUUAAAGCAGUUUUGAAUGAUUGAAACAGUAAGGUCUGUCUCCUAAAGUUUUCUCGUGAUGACCAGCAACAUUAAAAAAAAAAGAAAUCUACUAUAUAAUCUAAAUUAUUUCACAAAUUAUUUCUUAAUUAUUUUGAGUUAUUUGUAUAGUUAUUUGAAUUUUACUUAGGCCUAUGUUUGAACUUUUUGGCUUUUGCACAGCUUUUGUUGCACUAAAUAUAGAUUUACACACUUUUACUGACUGUAAUGUCAAUUUUUAUUACAUUUCAAGGAGUGUUCUGCAAUGUCACAUGCUUGCAGUGGUUGUAUGGAUGAUUUGAUUAACAUUUUUUUCAGCAGCAGCGCCCAUUUUCAUAAUCUUGCUGGAGGCAAACCCACAGGCCCACACUGAGAAAAGGUAACGUUAAUGUGAAGAAUCCUUGCUGUAGUGAGCAACAUUUAUUGCUUUGUUUUCUGCUGCUAUGGGUUUCAUUUUUAAUGUUUAGAGCAAUUUUGUCAUCAAACAUUGACAAAAUUGUUUAGAGCAAUUUUGUCAUCAAACAUUGCACAAAGAGGGUAUUUUGCAUUAACAGCUUUAUUAUAUUGGGGGUGGAGAAUUCAGGGCAGCAAUAAGGUUUCAUAUGUUUGGAGUUCAAUGUCUUAGCCUGCUAAGAUAUUUGUGAUUUAUCCAUAUGCUUCAGACAUCUUCAGUUUCUCAGCAGCAGAGUACAAGCAUAACACACUGCAAACAGCUGUCUAAACUGUGGUGGGCAAUCACAUGUAUAUGUAGCUUAAUUUCGAGAACAAAUAAAGAACCUUUAAAAAACUUGAAAAGAAGGCUGAAAAAGAUCCAGCCACUUGCCUGUUAAUAUGCAAAAAUUCUGAUUUAGCUCGGAUUGGAUGCUGAUAGGCCGCAAAACAGUAAACAAAGGUACUUCUACAAUAGUUGUAUUAACUUUGUAUGGCAAGUUUGUGAUAACAAAAGAAAAAAAAACCCUGUUAAGUGUCAAAAAUUGGCAAACUAUCAAAACGAAACUCCAAUACAGAUUCCUAUGCUUUGGUAAGAAUAUCUACAGAACUAUCCAAGCCUGUCAACUUUUUUAAUCUUGGUGCUACUGGAGAGAAAUCGUGGAAUAUCAGAAUUUUGAGGAAUCUGAAAACCAAACCCCCAAGAUAGCCAAGUCUAUCAGGAGCCAGUCUAAUAUUAAAAUCCCGCUUUCAAUAGAUGAAGUUUGAUGCCUUAAAAGCAGUCUCUGUUGGAUUGAAACUUGUGCAAAUAAGAAACCUGCAGCCAAACAAGCAACCGCAAUAAGAAGCAGGGAUCUGUAAUUGACAAAAGCUUUAUGAUGACAACGUGUUCAUAACCUUCUCUGGAACUCUUCCAGAAAUGUGGUUUCUUGUGAGUGAACGUGAUAUGGGAGUCUUUCUCAAAUAUGUAUUAAAUUACUUAGAUAAUGGCUCAGGGACAGAUAUGCCACAGAUCAUCACUUCAUCGGCUUACAAAAAAUACAUAUACUCUAGGUGUUAUUCAGAAGGAAAUAGUGCAAGAAGCUCAAGGAAAAGUAGUGUUGGGUCAGUCUGAAUACAUAGAACAAUAUAGAAAUGUAUUUUUGUUGCAAAACCUUGAGAGACUUGUACAAUAAAGCUGCUGAAACUAUUAUUUUUAAUGUAAAACCAUAUUAUUAUGAAUCGGACAGAUAUUUGGUAUAAAUUUGGUAUGCUAUUAAAUAUUGAGGUAAAAUCCUAGCUUGUCAUGUUACUCUCAUGUUGUAAGCAACCAUUUACUAUAUUUAACCUUGCGUCCAGAUUUUGAGCAGCCAAUGUCAAGAACACUAUGAGGCCCAGACUAAACAUCUCCCAUGGUGGAGGAUGCCUGUUAGGGUGAUCAUGGCACUAAAAUAUGUGACUGGAAGUGUUUACUAGAAAUGGACUAAUCUAAAAGCCAAACAUCCCUUUUUCUAAUCAUUGCUGUCUAAGUUUAACCCAAUCAAAACCUGAUGCAUUCUCAAUAUGGGCUCAUGAUAACCAAGCUCAGCAGUGGGAACCACAACAUUGAGCUUAAUUCUGUUGUGAAGAAUAAAAUCCACAACUUCUCCACAUGGGCUUU